rnacentral:rRNA from 1 species
GACAGAGGGUGCAAACGUUGUUCGGAAUUACUGGGCGUAAAGCGUGUGUAGGCGGUCCACUAAGUCGGACGUGAAAUCCCUCGGCUCAACCGGGGAACUGCGUCCGAUACUGGCGAGGCUUGAAUCCGGGAGAGGGAAGUGGAAUUCCAGGUGUAGCGGUGAAAUGCGUAGAUAUCCGGAGGAACACCGGUGGCGAAGGCGGCUUCCUGGACCGACACUGACGCUGAGGCGCGAAAGCCAGGGGAGCAAACGGG